rnacentral:rRNA from 1 species
UGAGGAAUAUUGCACAAUGGAGGAAACUCUGAUGCAGCCAUGCCGCGUGAGUGAAGAAGGCCUUAGGGUUGUAAAGCUCUUUCAAUAGUGAAGAUAAUGACGGUAGCUAUAGAAGAAGCUCCGGCUAAAUUCGUGCCAGCAGCCGCGGUAAUACGAAUGGAGCAAGCGUUGUUCGGAAUCACUGGGCUUAAAGCGUGCGCAGGCGGACUAGCAAGUCAGAAGUGAAAGCCCUGGGCUCAACCCGGGAAUUGCUUUUGAAACUACUAGUCUAGAAUUCGGGAGAGGUCAGUAGAAUUCCAAGUGUAGAGGUGAAAUACGCAGAUAUUUGGAGGAAUACCAGUGGCGUAGGCGACUGACUGGACCGAUAUUGACGCUCAGGCACGAAAGCGUGGGGAGCAAACAGGAUU